UACGGGGGGAGCAAGCGUUGUUCGGAAUUACUGGGCGUAAAGGGCGCGUAGGCGGCCAUCUAAGUCAGACGUGAAAUCCCCCGGCUUAACCUGGGAACUGCGUCUGAUACUGGACGGCUUGAGUAUGGGAGAGGGAUGUAGAAUUCCAGGUGUAGCGGUGAAAUGCGUAGAUAUCUGGAGGAAUACCGGUGGCGAAGGCGGCAUCCUGGACCAUUACUGACGCUCAGGCGCGAAAGCUAGGGGAGCAAACGGG
rnacentral:rRNA from 1 species